CACGCAGCACUUAGUAUGUCAGACAGGGGAGAAAGAUGUCCAAGACUUGUCCGGACUUCAGUUUGAGAAGUGCCGUGGAGAAUAUUACCUCACCAGACUGCCCUAGAAGGUCUCACGAUGUGAAGGUGUAGAGGCACAGUCUCAAGACUUCAGAGAAAGGCGGCACCCAAGGCAAACAGAGAGAAAGAAAGAGGUCUGAAGAUGAACGGGCAUUUGCUUUAAGGAUGGUGAUUUGGGAAGAAGUUUCUUGGACACCACUGUAAAAAGGAGAGAGCUGUCGUGAAGCCACUGUAUGAAAUAAGUGUUUUA